UGCACAUUAAGAAGCAAGAUUUUAAUAAACUCAGAAGCGGCAAACAAGGUUGCCUGGAACAGACAAGUGGAAAGAAAGAAAAAAUAAAAGGCAGAAAAAAGAAAUAAGGCAGAUCCUUUUUGAUGAAAACAUAAACUAACAGGAUGCUGAUUGCCUCAGAGUGAAGAAAGGAUUUGGAUAUUUUAAGGUUUAGCCAUCUUGGGUAGAAGUUAAUUUCUUACUGAUUUCAAAUAUAAGAGGUAAACAUCAGACAGUGGAAACUGUCUAAGCAAUAAAAAAACAUAGCAAAGGCAGUGCCAGAAAAUGGCCAGAUAAACUGUGGUACAAAUCUCAAGAGACAAAGGAUAGAAAUAACUUCUACAAUUCCAAAUAAGAGAAGCACCAAAGAAUACUACUGGUUGGUGAGCAGCUUAAAGGUGAGGUACAACACUGACACUGUGCCACGACUUCUGAAGUAUUUACUGCUUUAUUGACCAUUGCUACCAAGAAAAUCAAUUGUAAUUAGCUGGAGUCCACAGCUAAAAACUACAAGCUAAAGGGGUCAGAAUCAGGAAGGAACGAGGAGAGAAAAGGUCAGAGAAAAUACUUAGGCCAAAUAAUUUGAAAUUGGCUAUGCCGAUUGGUAUUGGUAUUAAACUUGUCCAAAGUCUUCGGGAAAUGGAUGAGUAUUUCAGUUGAUACUGAUUGAAAGCUGUUAAUACUAGAAUUAUUUCUGGCGACAUGAUGGAUGGAUAUGGGUAGAAGAGGCUUUUGAAAGAGCAAAAAUAAUGCUUGUCUUUAAAAGGAGGAGAAAGAAAUUGCAGACUGGUUACUCUAAAUUUCUUUCACAGUUAAAGUCAACUCGAAGAAAAACAGGAAAAGAGCAAAUAUGAGCAUGGAUUCUUUAAAGUCUAAUGAAGUAAGACGCAUUGUGAUGUGGAAAAUAGCUGAUGUCAUAUUGCACAGUUUUAGGAAGACUUCUGGCACCAUCUCAGGUCUGCCUCUGGUCUGAUCAAGGAUCACUUGUCCUCAAAGGGAUAAAUGACAACACUAUACCUCUCAUCUUAGAUCUCUAGGAGUCAUCAACCAAACAGGAAACCUCACUGCAAUCACCUCCAGAUGUAUGAAAUGAGAAUGCUCACAUACAGGACUACCGCAUUUCAUCCAAAAAACCUCACACAAAACAAACAAACAAAAAAAACCAGCACCAAAACCCACACUAAAUUACAGUAACCUGUGUAAAUAGCCUGAAGAAUGUUUUCAACACAUGAAUAUAUAAUACU
rnacentral:lncRNA from 1 species